AGAGUUUGAUCCUGGCUCAGGAUGAACGCUGGCGGCGUGCUUAACACAUGCAAGUCGAACGAGCCUUCGGGCUAGUGGCGGACGGGUGAGUAACGCGUGAGAAUCUGCCCUCAGGAGGGGGAUAACGGCUGGAAACGGCCGCUAAUACCCCAUAUGCCGCGAGGUGAAAUGAGAAAUCGCCUGAGGAUGAGCUCGCGUCUGAUUAGCUAGUUGGUGGGGUAAGAGCCUACCAAGGCAUCGAUCAGUAGCUGGUCUGAGAGGAUGAUCAGCCACACUGGGACUGAGACACGGCCCAGACUCCUACGGGAGGCAGCAGUGGGGAAUUUUCCGCAAUGGGCGCAAGCCUGACGGAGCAACGCCGCGUGAGGGAUGAAGGCCUCUGGGCUGUAAACCUCUUUUCUCAAGGAAGAAGAACUGACGGUACUUGAGGAAUAAGCCACGGCUAAUUCCGUGCCAGCAGCCGCGGUAAUACGGGAGUGGCAAGCGUUAUCCGGAAUUAUUGGGCGUAAAGCGUCCGCAGGCGGUCUUGAAAGUCUGUUGUUAAAGCGUGGAGCUCAACUCCAUUUCAGCAAUGGAAACUAGAAGACUAGAGUGUGGUAGGGGCAGAGGGAAUUCCCGGUGUAGCGGUGAAAUGCGUAGAUAUCGGGAAGAACACCAGUGGCGAAGGCGCUCUGCUGGGCCAUAACUGACGCUCAUGGACGAAAGCCAGGGGAGCGAAAGGGAUUAGAUACCCCUGUAGUCCUGGCCGUAAACGAUGAACACUAGGUGUCGGGGGAAUCGACCCCCUCGGUGUCGUAGCCAACGCGUUAAGUGUUCCGCCUGGGGAGUACGCACGCAAGUGUGAAACUCAAAGGAAUUGACGGGGGCCCGCACAAGCGGUGGAGUAUGUGGUUUAAUUCGAUGCAACGCGAAGAACCUUACCAGGGUUUGACAUCCUGCGAAUCUUUUGGAAACAGAAGAGUGCCUUCGGGAGCGCAGAGACAGGUGGUGCAUGGCUGUCGUCAGCUCGUGUCGUGAGAUGUUGGGUUAAGUCCCGCAACGAGCGCAACCCACGUCUUUAGUUGCCAGCAUUGAGUUGGGCACUCUAGAGAGACCGCCGGUGAUAAACCGGAGGAAGGUGUGGAUGACGUCAAGUCAUCAUGCCCCUUACAUCCUGGGCUACACACGUACUACAAUGCUACGGACAGAGGGCAGCAAACUCGCGAGAGCUAGCAAAUCCCAUAAACCGUGGCUCAGUUCAGAUCGUAGGCUGCAACUCGCCUACGUGAAGGAGGAAUCGCUAGUAAUCGCAGGUCAGCAUACUGCGGUGAAUACGUUCCCGGGCCUUGUACACACCGCCCGUCACACCAUGGAAGUUGGCCAUGCCCGAAGUCGUUACUCCAACCCUUGUGGAGGAGGACGCCGAAGGUGGGGCUGAUGACUGGGGUGAAGUCGUAACAAGGUAGCCGUAGAAUCG
rnacentral:rRNA from 1 species